AAUUUGACCAGAUCAAAACUAUAUCAAGCAUGAACCGAUUAGUUUCAUAGAGCUCAAACCCAAUCGUAAACAACAAACAGAGCCACAUUGCCCAAACAAUGGUAGACACAAAUAUGCCCGUAAUUAACAAAUCGAAUCAACCCUAAGGUCGUUUGUGACGAAGACGCCGUCGUAAAUCCGAAGGUUGUUGAAGAAGAAGACAAGUGAAGAAGCUUUUUGGACGUUUCGCGACGGGAAGAGGAGGAGGGGAGAGAGAUGGAAACAGCUUCAUUGUUUCUUCCACUUCAGUUCUUUGAUGGAUUUGAGAUCUGAUAAGUGAAGAAGUUGUGCAGUGGCGGCGACGGCGUCGUUGGAAAAUAGGUGGUUACGGUUGACUCGUCGACUUGUAGAAGAGCUGAUCCAACUGAGUUGACUCAGCGAGGUGGUGACCUUUGAAGAGAGACAAAGUAGAGUCGAGGAAAAUCGAGUCUUCACGUGAGAGAGAUAGGUCGAGAUGGUGGUGGUGGUCGGAGAGGAUGAAGGCAGAGGGAGUGAAUCGGAAAGUGGAAAUUACAAUUGAAUUUGAUUAUUUGUUAAUUACAAUAAAUUUCUCCAAUGAGCUUUUGUAAUUUUGAUAUCAAAUUUAUCAAAAUCGUUUUUGUUGAUUGAAGAA